rnacentral:rRNA from 1 species
GGAUUAGAUACCCUGGUAGUCCACGCCCUAAACGAUAUCUACUAGUUGUCGGGUCUUAAUUGACUUGGUAACGCAGCUAACGCGUGAAGUAGACCGCCUGGGGAGUACGGUCGCAAGAUUAAAACUCAAAGGAAUUGACGGGGACCCGCACAAGCGGUGGAUGAUGUGGAUUAAUUCGAUGCAACGCGAAAAACCUUACCUACCCUUGACAUGGCUGGAAUCCCCGAGAGAUUGGGGAGUGCUCGAAAGAGAACCAGUACACAGGUGCUGCAUGGCUGUCGUCAGCUCGUGUCGUGAGAUGUUGGGUUAAGUCCCGCAACGAGCGCAACCCUUGUCAUUAGUUGCUACGUAAGGGCACUCUAAUGAGACUGCCGGUGACAAACCGGAGGAAGGUGGGGAUGACGUUAAGUCCUCAUGGCCCUUAUGGGUAGGGCUUCACACGUCAUACAAUGGUACAUACAGAGCGCCGCCAACCCGCGAGGGGGAGCUAAUCGCAGAAAGUGUAUCGUAGUCCGGAUUGUAGUCUGCAACUCGACUGCAUGAAGUUGGAAUCGCUAGUAAUCGCGGAUCAGCAUGUCGCGGUGAAUACGUUCCCGGGUCUUGUACACACCGCCCGUCACACCAUGGGAGCGGGUUUUACCAGAAGUAGGUAGCUUAACCGCAAGGAGGGCGCUUACCACGGUAGGAUUCGUGACUGGGGUG